UACAGAGGGUGCGAGCGUUAAUCGGAAUUACUGGGCGUAAAGCGCGCGUAGGCGGCUUUGCAAGUCGGGUGUGAAAUCCCCAGGCUUAACCUGGGAACUGCAUUCGAGACUGCAUUGCUAGAGUAUGGGAGAGGGAAGUGGAAUUUCCGGUGUAGCGGUGAAAUGCGUAGAUAUCGAGAGGAACACCUGCGGCGAAGGCGGGUUGCUGGGCUGACACGUGACGCUGAGGCGCGAAAGCUAGGGGAGCGAACGGG
rnacentral:rRNA from 1 species